AUCUCACAAUGAAGAAGGCUAUUCUCAUUGCUUUUAUUAUUCUGGUUUCCGUAUUUCUCUGCCUUCCCUCUUCCACUCAUGCUCGAGCAUUAUCAGAAAGGGUAGAGUCAGUUACUGGGGGAGCACCAAUAAGAAAUAAGCCAGCAGUUCCAUGUUCUCCUAGUAGAAGAUAUACUUCUUGCAUGCCAAAGACGAAGCCUCCGAGCCCUCCAUGCUCAAUCUAUGUCCGAGGCUGUCCACCACCUGGGAAUUAGAUAUAAUAACAAUAAGUAAUUAGAUAUGAUGAUAAUUAUGUUUCUUAUAUUUUGUAGCUAGCAGGGAACGUAUGUAAUAAUUGUAUUUAAAACUUUUAGGUACUGUUUAAUUUCUGGGUUGUGUGUAUAUGUUUGUUGCAGCUUUUGAUUUCACUUGUCUCUUUUGAAGAAUAACAUCUCUAUUCCCGACUUGGCUUUCUCUGCAGGAA